CUCCUUGCUUUUUUAAGCUAUGUACCAACAACUAUAUGUUUUGUUCGAUACUUUAAUGUACGUUUUAAACCUGACAGAACAGACUUUUUCCAGGGAAUAAAUCUUGCUGCAUAAUGUCAUAAAUGUCAUUGAUAACCAUGACGACAAAGGCUACCCUGGUCAUUCUGAACAAGAUGUUAUCCAGACCCAGUGCCUGAGAGACACAGUUGAAACGAGGACCAGUUGCACAGCACCUCUAGAAUUACCCUGAGAAGCUUACAAGCAUCCUCUCAAGACAGAGCUGUAAAGCCCUUCUGGGAGGGUAAUUACUUGGCCCAAUAGAGAGGACACUGUCAUUAAUACUCAGCUGGUCCAACGCUGUCCCAAAUCCCUGGCUGGGUUCAGGGAUAAGCCUUAAAACCAGAGUGGAGGCUGUAUCCCUAAAAGGAAACAAAGCUCUGUCUUCAGCCAGACACAGACAUUCAGGUGCAACAUUGCCUGUACUUUUAUGUUGCUGUGAGCCCUACAUCAAAAAGAGAAUGAAAGCUGAUCUAUUUACUCCUGGCAGAGAAGAAAGGAGGAAGGACGUCCAGGUGCUACCAGAAAACCAUUUGUGAGGACAUGGACCAGUGCCAAGGUCACAGCCCACCUGAAUAGAACUUGAAAUCCAGGCACACCCAGUCCAGGGGAGCCCUGAGUUCUUCCUGAACUUAAACACUGGGUUUAAAAAAAAAAAAACAGUCACAGGUGCGGGGACACUGGUCCCCUGCCUGCUGCGAAGUAGAUAACGCGAGGACAGCCUCAAAACAACUCCAGACGCUUCGGGUGCCUGAGCCUCACUCGGUGGGGGCGGCGCAGAGGUCCACGUGCAGUACGCGAGCUGGGGAGGUGCGGGAGCCCGCGCUCUGCCCGUGCGCCGCCGACCCACUCACUGCCGCUCGGGGCUUUGGGUUCCCCCCAUGCAAAAGGAGGACCAUGCUAUGUCAUCAAGGGCUGAUGCGAAGAAGAACCCAGAAGCAGGCGUCAAUAAGUAACGAAAGAAUGGGGGUAGCCGUGCCUAAUAUCGUUGCUGCCGUGGCAAUUACUGCAACGGAGGCUUGAGAGUUAGGGCGCCAGAAACGCAAACUUUCCAGGGGACCAAACUCAUCCAAGCCUCCUAAGGGGCCUGUGGAGACCUCUGCCCGCUCUGGGCCCCGCCGCCGUCCGCGGUCCGCGCCACCUUUCCCGCGGCUGGCUCCAGGCGGGGCGGGGCAGCGGCGGCGCGGGCCGGGCGGCGGGGAAGGGAGGGAGCGCGGUUGCACACGCGGGCCACUGCCCCCAACGGCUGCGCUGGGCUCGCGGCGCC
rnacentral:lncRNA from 1 species